CGCCUCCCAGCCUGGACUCAGGGGAGUCCAGCUGCAGGGCUUCAGAGCGAGAUGAAUCAUGCUGAACGCUGUGGUUAUGGUCAGACCUCCAAUGGGGGGGGGGGUUUCUACUGCUUUGCAGAUGUGAGAAUGAAGGCACAGGGGGAGGAGGGCACCGCACACAAACGUUGCAAGAUAGGGGCAGGAUCAGGAAUGCCGCCCAGAAUUCCCAGAUCCCAGCCCCUGCCGGUAUUAGGCUCUGGAGUUGUUUCCUUCCCUUCCCUUUGGUCCUCCCCAAGCUCUCCGCCUGCUGGUUGCAGCUCUCAUCCAUGAUUCCCUUCUCUCGCACAUUCCUGGUAUGAAGCAGGCGUGUUUGUCAAGUGUGGCUUUGGGGCCAGAUCCAGCAUUCCAGACUGGGGUGAGCUGAGGUAAACGAGGAACAGCCCCCUGCCCACCCACCCCUCCCGGCCUCCUAGCUUCAAGUGCUGUAGCUUUGCUCGGUCUCCUUCAGGCAAGGCUCGGAGAUGGAAGAGUGGUGCAAACUCUGGCAGGCAAUUAGGGAGCCACAGACUUCACAACGUCAAUAUGUUGCUGCAGGCAAUGUGUACGUGACUGCACUCUACUUAGCCCCCUCCAACUCUUUUUUCCUCCCCCCCCCCACACUCUGGAAGUCACUUUCAGAACUCUUUAGCAGGGAGUCAAGACACCUUCCCAUCACUUUUUAGAUAACUUUGGCAAAUCAGGGGGCUACCAAAGCAACACUGAUUAUUAGUCAAGGUUGGAAUAUUUGCACCGAGCUUCUGGAAGAUGUGGGAGUUCAAUACAGCAGAUAGCACGAAGGUCUUAAGCUUUUGAUAGCCUUAAAACAAGGACACAAUGACAGAUUUCCACGAGGAUCCAAGAAACAGUUCACUUCACAACUUUGGGCAACUUUGACCUCUCAUCACAAUGAGCAUAAAGGAACCGUGAGUUAUAUGUGCGGACUGCCUUCCUGAAAAGGUAAAUGAUAAGAAGAAUGGUAUUGCCUCCAUUGGAUACAAAGAGCCCAGCUAAUUUGCCCAUACUGGGUCUGCAGCAGAGGGAGAGACCCUUGGGACAAGGAUUUCUUCUGUUCUGCUUGCUAGAGGUGGAAGCCUUCACAAGUUAAAUACAAUGAAAACAUACAAUUGUAAGAUCAGGUCAGGGCAGAGGGGUUUUUGCUUCCUCUGAGUUUCAAGGGCCUUCCUCCUCUCAGGGCUACAGGCCCUUCACACCACCCAUCCUGCCCCAAAGCGGUCCCUGAUCAAUUGCCUUCAGUCCCCGGAAGGGGAGAAGUAAGGAGGUUUCCUCAUCCAGGAUGAUCAGAAGUUCCACCCUCCCGAUGGAUCUGAAGCCCUGAAUGUAACAAAUGCCCCCAAACACUGCCACCAUCAGAGAGGACAGUAUGAAAGGAAGGGGGGAAAAAACAGCCCUGCUAUCAUUGGUCAAGACACCUUUGAUGUCAUAAUCAAAGUCAGCAGGUAAAUUUGGUUAGAACAUUCUCAGCUUGGGCUCUUUUUACAGACAAUUCCUGUCUCUGUGCAACGAACGUCGAGCCUUUGCUCAUGUUUCAGAAGACCAGGAGAUCCAUCCCCAAAUCACCCCAAUUUUCAGGACCCCAACAGAAAUGUUGUUGCAGAAUUUUCGCUUUCUGCCUAGCGCAUUCAUUCUUCUUGGGUGUUUUUUUUAAAAGAACAACAAGAAGACAAUCUCUUGGAGAUGUUAAAAUGCAAAAAAUAAAAUAAAAUAUUCAUGUCUGAAAUGGUCACCUGGCCAAUAUGGAGGGAAGGAAAGAUUUUUGCAUCUCUUCAAACAUCUAGCAGUAUUAGCUUCGAAAGUCAGGUGAUUAUUCUUUUCACAGUAUAAUCCUAGCAGUGCCUGCUAACAUCUGCGAAUCAGCCUGAUUUUAAAGGCCCAGAAGCAAAGUUCAUUCUCAUUGCAAGCAUUUUCCUACUCUUGCAUACUUCGGUUUACUUUCUUCAUAAAUGAAAAACAAGUAUUAUUAGAGCUAUGAUUUUUGUCAAGUUCACUUGCUCGUCCAAACGGUCUCUUUCUAAGAUCCCUGUAUCCCGUUAUUCCUCAGGAUUAUUAUUUUUUUAACAAGGUCCUCCGAUUGUGGGAAGCAGAGGAGGAGGAGGUGCAAAGGGAAGAAGCUGGAGCUUUUCCAAGUUAUUUCUCCGCUCCGGGGCAUGUGCAGGACAAGUCCAGAUGUACAUAUGUUUGGCUGUGCGUGAAGAGGCUGUCCUCCCCAACCUUCCCUUGCAAAGCACUGCUGAAGUCACGGAGUCUGCCCUACCCACAGGGACACUCGGGGUGGAGUACUUCUAUUGCAAAACUGCUCAGCUAUUCAGCAGGCCUGGCUCACAGCUCAAGAGAGGCCAUAGGCUGGGAUCAGAAGGGGCUUUUAAGGAAGAAAAGCAGAAUCAGAAUGGAUACGAAACUCAGAGGUUGGCCAGGGCAUGUAACCUGCUCCACGUUAAAAAAUAAAAGCAGAACGGUUUUUGCCUUC